GACAAAAGCAUGGAUUAAUUUUUCUGCAUAAUUUUUGCAAUGUUACGUAGAUGGAAAAAAGCUGUCCUUGAAACAGUCUUGAUAUGUUCGUCAAAAGAGAGAUCAGGGUCCAGAGUAACACCGAGGUCCUUCACAGUUUUAUUUGAGACGACUGUACAACCAUCAAGAUUCAUUGUCAGAUUCAACAGAAGAUCUCUUUGUUUCUUGGGACCUAGAACAAGCAUCUCUGUUUUGUCCGAGUUUAAAAGUAGAAAGUUUGCAGCCAUCCACUUCCUUAUGUCUGAAACACAGGCUUCCAGGGAGGGCAAUUUUGGGGCUUCACCAUGUUUCAUCGAAAUGUACAGCUGUGUGUCAUCCGCAUAGCAGUGAAAGUUAAAAUUAUGUUUCCGAAUGCAAUUGUCAAACGCAAUUGUUUCCAACAGUUUUCUAAGAGCUGGCAGCAAGCUGAUAGUUCUGUUGUUAGAACCAGUAAAGGCCGCUUUACCACUCUUGUGUAGCGGAAUGACUUUGGCUUCCCUCCAGGCCUGAAGACAGACUUUCCUCUAGGCUCAGAUUAAAGAUAUGACAGAUGUGAGGAAUGGCUAUAGAGUCAGCUGCCAUCCUCAGUAGCUUUCCAUCUGCACUGAACAAAAAUAUAAAUGCAACAUGUAAAGUGUUGUUUUCAUGAGCUGAAACUAGGGACACAGUUUUGUCACACAACAUCACAGAUGUCUCAAGUUUUGAGGGAGCGUACAAUUGGCAUGCUGAAUGCAGGAAUGUCCACCAGAGCUGUUGCCAGAGAAUUUAAUGUUAAUUUCACUACCAUAAGCUGGCUCCAAUGUUGUUUUAGAGAAUUUGGUAGUAUGUUCAACCGGCAUUACAAUGGCAGACCAUGUGUAACCACACCAUCCCAGGACCUCCACAUCCGGUUUCUUCACCUGCAGGAUUGUCUGAGGGGGGGAACUCAGUAAAAUCUUUGAAAUUGUUGCAUGUUGCAUUUAUAUUUUGGUUCAGUAUAAAUAGCCUACCUACAACUGGUAAAAAAGUUGUUUCCGUGACUUAGCUGCAACACUCUCAACCAGUGCUCUCAACGCACACACACUCACCCAUUCACUCAGCAACAGCCUGCUCACUGCCUGAUAGUCAGCAGGAUGUAACAGUGAAAUAUACAGUACCAGUCAAAAGAAUCUCAAAUAUAAAAUAUAUUUUGAUUUGUUUAACACUUUUUGUUACUACAUGAUUCCAUAUGUGUUAUUUCAUAGUUUUGACGUCUUCACUAUUAUUCUACGAUGUAGAAAAUAGUAAAAAUAAAGAAAAAACCCUUGAAUGACUAGGUGUGUCCAAACUUUUGAAUGGUACUGUAUAUUUUGCAUAAACACUCCACCCUUAGGAUUGUUCAGCAUGUCAACAACCAUUUCAACAGUAACAUCUGUUAACCCCAAUAUCUCUUUUGCCAUUUCCACAAUAACCUUCAACCUGGCAAUUAUGCUUUCCACAACCCGAGUCGUAUUGAUAACCUUACUAAUAUAAGCUAUGAUGUCAAAUUUAUUCAAUAAUACAGUGUCCUUUGACACCAAACAUUCAUGAACAAGAUUUCUGAACAGGCCUUGAAACCAUGACAUCAGAAGCAUCAGCCCUGACAGCAGGUUCACUUACUACAGGUACAUCCAUGUCAGAUCCAUCAGCCUAACAGUAGGUCCACUAACUACAGGUACAUCCAUGUCAGAUCCAUCAGCCUAACAGUAGGUCCACUUACUACAGGUACAUCCAUGUCAGAUCCAUCAGCCUGACAGUAGGUCCACUAACUACAGGUACAUCCAUGUCAGAUCCAUCAGCCUAACAGUAGGUCCACUUACUACAGGUACAUCCAUGUCAGAUCCAUCAGUCUGACAGUAGGUCCACUUACUACAGGUACAUCCAUGUAAGAUCCAUCAGCCUAACAGUAGGUCCACUUACUACAGGUACAUCCAUGUCAGAUCCAUCAGCCUAACAGUAGGUCCACUAACUACAGGUACAUCCAUGUCAGAUCCAUCAGUCUGACA
rnacentral:lncRNA from 1 species